UCGUUCUUUCUCAUGGCAUUUUAUUUUCAAAUUAAAUUCUAUGAGCAAGAACAAUCUUACAAAAACAGAUUUAAAGUUUUUUUGGUCAUCUGUAGCUGACAGAGCCAAUGAAAGAUAGAAGAGCAAGACAGGGAAGUAAAUAGCCAAGAUCGCGAGUGCCGGAAUAUGAAAUUAAGAAAUCUCUGUUUACCCACCUGAAAAAUGGCAUCUUUCACCAUGAAAAUGACCAACAUUUAAAUAAAAACUAACUAAAUCUACCUGAAUUCGACUGACUGGCAUAUAAAAGAAGAGUGAAUGAAAUCCAAGGGAAUAAAUAUGACAAGCAUAUAUUUCCAUGAAAAAUAUCAAAGAACCAAGUGUAGAGAUCUGUUCAGAAAGACGUAAGUUCUCGCGGCGAGAGUGUACGAGGUCCGCAUCAGCCCGGUCUAGACGCUGGCGGAGUGACUGGAUCUGGUUGAAGAGGAAACUCGAUUGAUCGAUCUUAGCUUGCGUGAGUUGGGCUUCUAAUUCGGCGAUACGAGACUCAAACACAAUGUUCGGUCCUUCCAACUUCGUGGUGCGAGGCUUGGCACGACGGGACUUGGAUGGAGAUGCCUACAAAAAGAAAGAAGAAUGAAUAGGGUAUAUAGUUGACGACAUCAGGGUUGGUGCCGGCUGCUUCGGCGGCGGGCGCUUGCGGUGCUGGUUGCGGAGCUACAGAUAUCAGGCGCUUUUAUUUUUGACCGACUUCCCAAAAUAAGGAGGUACUGUUGAGUACCUCCUUUUUUUACGAA